rnacentral:rRNA from 1 species
GAACGGAACACCCUUGAAGGAGUUUUCGGACAACUGAGAGGACUGUUUAGUGGCGGACGGGUGAGUAACGCGUGAGUAACCUGCCUUGGAGUGGGGAAUAACACAGAGAAAUUUGUGCUAAUACCGCAUAAUGCAGCUGAGUCGCAUGGCUCUGGCUGCCAAAGAUUUAUCGCUCUGAGAUGGACUCGCGUCUGAUUAGCUAGUUGGCGGGGUAACGGCCCACCAAGGCGACGAUCAGUAGCCGGACUGAGAGGUUGGCCGGCCACAUUGGGACUGAGACACGGCCCAGACUCCUACGGGAGGCAGCAGUGGGGAAUAUUGGGCAAUGGGCGCAGGCCUGACCCAGCAACGCCGCGUGAAGGAAGAAGGCUUUCGGGUUGUAAACUUCUUUUCUCAGGGACGAAGCAAGUGACGGUACCUGAGGAAUAAGCCACGGCUAACUACGUGCCAGCAGCCGCGGUAAUACGUAGGUGGCAAGCGUUAUCCGGAUUUACUGGGUG